AUUCGCUAGUAAUCGCGCAUCAGCCAUGGCGCGGUGAAUACGUUCCCGGGCCUUGUACACACCGCCCGUCAAGCCAUGGGAGCCGGGGGUGCCUGAAGUUCGUGACCGCAAGGAGCGACCUAGGGCAAAACUGGUGACUGGGGCUAAGUCGUAACAAGGUAGC
rnacentral:rRNA from 1 species